GACGGAGGGUGCUAGCGUUGUUCGGAAUGACUGGGCGUAAAGCGCGUGUAGGCGGCUAUGCAAGUCGGGCGUGAAAUCCCACGGCUCAACCGUGGAAGUGCACCCGAAACUGCGUAGCUAGAGUCCUGGAGAGGAAGGUGGAAUGCUUGGUGUAGAGGUGAAAUUCGUAGAUAUCAAGCGGAACACCGGUGGCGAAGGCGGCCUUCUGGACAGUGACUGACGCUGAGACGCGAAAGCGUGGGGAGCAAACAGG
rnacentral:rRNA from 1 species